CAAUAGCGUAUGUUUAAGUUGUUGCAGUUAAAAAGCUCGUAGUUGGAUUUCGGUUAAGAGCGACCGGUCCGCCGUUUGGUGUGCACUGGUUGGUUUUAACUUCCUGUAGAGGACGUGCUCUGGGUUUAACGACCUGGACUCGGAGUCUACGUGGUUACUUUGAAAAAAUUAGAGUGUUCAAAGCGGGCUUACGCUUGAAUAUUUCAGCAUGGAAUAACACUAUAGGACUCCUGUCCUAUUUCGUUGGUCUCGGGACGGGAGUAAUGAUUAAGAGGAACAGUUGGGGGCAUUCGUAUUUCAUUGUCAGAGGUGAAAUUCUUGGAUUUAUGAAAGACGAACUUCUGCGAAAGCAUUUGCCAAGGAUGUUUUCAUUAA
rnacentral:rRNA from 1 species